AGGACGAACGCUGGCGGCGUGCUUAACACAUGCAAGUCGAGCGGAAAGGCCCUUCGGGGUACUCGAGCGGCGAACGGGUGAGUAACACGUGAGUAACCUGCCCUAGGCUUUGGGAUAACCCUCGGAAACGGGGGCUAAUACUGGAUAUUCCCGCGGGAUCGCAUGGUUUUGUGGGGAAAGGUUUUCCGGCUUGGGAUGGGCUCGCGGCCUAUCAGCUUGUUGGUGGGGUGAUGGCCUACCAAGGCGACGACGGGUAG
rnacentral:rRNA from 1 species